CCUACGGGAGGCUGCAGUGAGGGAUAUUGGUCAAUGGGCUUACGCCUGAACCAGCCAAGUCGCGUGAGGGAAGACUGCCCUAUGGGUUGUAAACCUCUUUUGUCAGGGAGCAACGCCGGCUACGUGUAGCCGGACUGAGAGUACCUGAAGAAAAAGCAUCCGCUAACUCCGUGCCAGCAGCAGCGUUAAUACGGGGGAUGCGAGCGUUAUCCGGAUUUAUCGGGUUUAAAGGGUGCGUAGGCGGAAUGCCAAGUCAACGGUAAAAUCGCGGGGCUCAACCCGGCUCCGCCGUUGAAACUGGCGUGCUUGAGUGGGCGAGGAGCAGGCGGAAUGCGUGGUGUAGCGGUGAAAUGCAUAGAUAUCACGCAGAACACCGAUGGCGAAGGCAGCAUGCCGGCGCCCAACUGACGCUGAAGCACGAAAGCGUGGGGAGCGAACAGGAUUAGAUACCCGAGUAGUC
rnacentral:rRNA from 1 species